ensembl:ncRNA B0350.73 ncRNA
GAAAAUCACGAAACUGAUAAGGAAGACCAAACAUAUUAUAAAUGUUAAAACUUUGUAAAAACAUAAGCCCAAUGCGGGGCUCGAACCCGCGACAACCAGAUUAAGAGUCUGGUGCUCUACCGACUGAGCUAACCGGGCGGCGAUUGCAUUCAUGUGAGAAGAGAAAUAUGUAACAGGCAAUGGCAUGAGGAA